rfam:Felis catus isolate Cinnamon breed Abyssinian chromosome D4, whole genome shotgun sequence.
GCCUGGGUGGCUCAGUCGAUUAAACAUCUGACUUUGGCUCAGAUCAUGAUCUUGUGGUCUGUGAGUUCGAAUCCCACGUCAGGCU